AGCAGCCGCGGUAAUUCCAGCUCCAAUAGCGUAUAUUAAAGUUGUUGCAGUUAAAAAGCUCGUAGUUGAAUUUCGGGAUUGACACAUCGGUCGUGCCUUAAGGGGUAUGAACUGGUGUAGUCAAUUUCUCACCUUCUGGAGAACCGCGAUGCCCUUAAUUGGGUGCCGCGGGGAACCAGGACCUUUACUUUGAAAAAAUUAGAGUGUUUAAAGCAGGCAUUUUGCUUGAAUACAUUAGCAUGGAAUAAUAAAAUAGGACGGCAUGAUUCUAUUUUGUUGGUUUCUAGGAUCACCGUAAUGAUUAAUAGGGAUAGUUGGGGGCAUUAGUAUUCAAUUGUCAGAGGUGAAAUUCUUGGAUUUAUUGAAGACUAACUACUGCGAAAGCAUUUGCCAAGGAUGUUUUCAUUAAUCAAGAACGAAAGUUAGGGGAUCGAAGACGAUCAGAUACCGUCGUAGUCUUAACCAUAAACUAUGCCGACUAGGAAUCAGACGAUGUUAAUUUUUUAAUGACUCGUUUGGU
rnacentral:misc_RNA from 1 species